CCAGUAGGGACCCUAUAUAAGAGCGGAGGUGUCGCAGUCAAGACGGUUCACGGCAGGGGUUGAGAGCCCGGUUCACUACAGUCCGGUCGACUACAGCACAGUUCAGCGGUGUGGUUCUGUACGGAGCAUUACGACGGUUCAGUGCGGAGUACUAUCAAGUACAGUUGAGACGAACGGCGUCUUGAUCUUGGUCUGCGAUCGAGUCCGACACAACGAGCCUAGUGUGUGAAGUCAGUCCUGAACUGUUGAACCCAGUGCAAGCCCGGAACGAGACGGAGAGGCCAGUGCAAGAGUUGAUACGGCGGAACGGUGUUAUCGGAGAGAUAUUUGUACAGUGUACGUGUUGCCAAUUGUACAGUAUUGGCUUUUAUUUAUUCAACUAUUAAAGUGUUACGUUACUUUGGA